UACGUAGGUGGCAAGCGUUGUCCGGAAUUACUGGGCGUAAAGAGCGCGUAGGCGGGAAUUUAAGUCAGGAGUGAAAACUACCGGCUCAACCGGUAGCCUGCUCUUGAAACUGGAUUUCUUGAGGGUAUGAGAGGAAAGCGGAAUUCCCAGUGUAGCGGUGAAAUGCGUAGAUAUCAGGAGGAACACCGGUGGCGAAGGCGGGUCUCUGGGCAACAACUGACGCUGAGGAGCGAAAGCGUGGGGAGCGAACAGG
rnacentral:rRNA from 1 species